AUUGAACGCCGGCGGCAGGCUUAACACAUGCAAGUCGAGCGGGGUGAUGGUGCUUGCACUAUCACUUAGCGGCGGACGGGUGAGUAAUGCUUAGGAAUCUGCCUAUUAGUGGGGGACAACAUCUCGAAAGGGAUGCUAAUACCGCAUACGUCUUACGGGAGAAAGCAGGGGAUCACCUGUGACCUUGCGCUAAUAGAUGAGCCUAAGUCGGAUUAGCUAGUUGGCGGGGUAAAGGCCUACCAAGGCGACGAGCUGUAGCGGGUCUGAGAGGAUGAUCCGCCACACUGGGACUGAGACACGGCCCAGACUCCUACGGGAGGCAGCAGUGGGGAAUAUUGGACAAUGGGGGGAACCCUGAUCCAGCCAUGCCGCGUGUGUGAAGAAGGCCUUAUGGUUGUAAAGCACUUUAAGCGAGGAGGAGGCUCUUUUGGUUAAUACCCAAGAUGAGUGGACGUUACUCGCAGAAUAAGCACCGGCUAACUCUGUGCCAGCAGCCGCAGUAA
rnacentral:rRNA from 1 species